CGUGCGUAAGAGGGGCGGGGCGGGACCGGCCACCAGGGCCCGCCCCCUCCCUUGCCCGGCGCCAGCGUAAAGUCACGGCUCAGCCCCACCGAGGCCAGUCGGCUCCCCCACAACACCCGCACCAUGCCCAUGAUACUGGGUUACUGGGACAUCCGCGGGCUGGCUCAUGCCAUCCGCCUGCUCCUGGAAUACACAGACUCAAACUAUGAGGAGAAGAGAUACACCAUGGGGGACGCUCCAGACUAUGACAGAAGCCAGUGGCUGGAUGAGAAAUUCAAGCUGGGCCUGGACUUUCCCAAUCUGCCCUACUUGAUUGACGGGCCUCACAGGAUCACCCAGAGCAACGCCAUCCUGCGCUACAUUGCCCGCAAGCACAACCUGUGUGGGGAGACAGAAGAGGAGAUGAUUCGUGUGGACAUUUUGGAGAACCAGGCUAUGGACAUUGCCAAUGAGCUGGCUAGAGUCUGCUAUAGCCCAGACUUUGAGAAACUGAAGCCAGAGUACUUGGAGCGCAUCCCAGAGGCACUGAAGCUCUUUUCACAGUUCUUGGGGAAGAAGCCAUGGUUUGUUGGUGAUAAGAUCACCUUUGUGGAUUUCCUUGCUUAUGAUUUACUUGACCUGCACCGAAUAUUUCACCCUAAGUGCCUGGAUGAAUUUUCGAACCUGAAGGACUUCGUAUCCCGCUUUGAGGGCUUGAAGAAGAUCUCUGCCUACAUGAAGUCCAGCCGCUUCCUCCCCAAACCUCUGUACACAAAGGUGGCUACAUGGGGCAACAAGUAGGGCCUUGAAAGGAUAGGAUCAGGGAGUGAGGAGCCUGUUCUCUUCUGCUGCCAGGGCCCUGGGAAAGGGCCAGACCCCAUGCAGCUCUGGCAUUAUCUUCUCAUUUUUUUCUCUUCUGUCCAUCCCCCUAUCAUACCCACAGCCUUAUUGGCCCUCCUUUCUCCCUCUAAUCCUCAGAUGGGAAUUGGAGAUACAGAAAAAGAAAGACUGAACGAGUCUCAAAAGAAACUCCAAAACACCCACGAGCCUUUGAAAGGCAAAACAAGCCCUCCUGAGCAACCUAUCCUGUAUCCUUAGCAUAUGUCCUUAGCCCAUGUCAGUGACCCAUGCCCUUGCCCUCAAAUAGUUACAUGAGGGCAGUAUACAAUUGGUAGAAAAACUGGUGUGAACUUGUGUAAACCUGUCCUGGCUCUACCUGUCGUCCAGCCCCUAGGUGCUGUCCUGUUCUAAAUUAUAGCACCCUACACCAGGGAGUUGCUGUCUGUCCUUCCGGAGAUAGAGUCCCAUGAUCCCUUUUGAGGGCCAGUCCCCAAUGACCUGAGUACCUCUUAUUAGGCCCUAUCUCCUAAGGUUCCACUACCUCCCGAUAGUGCCACCCUGAUGACCAAGCCAUGAACACAUGAGCCUUUGAGGGACAUUCAGGAUCCAAACUAAAGCAGAGGCAUUUAGGGAAGACUCAGGUGAGAGAUACUGUUGCUCAUCAAGGAAGUUCUCUUACAACAACAGCUGUAUUUCUAGAAAAUUAUAUCCAAAAAUGGGUCAAGACUUGAAUAGAUGUUUCUCAAAAAUGAAUAUUCUAAUGGCCAAGAAACAUAUGAAAACAUGGUAAACACCAUUACAUAGCAGAGUAGUUAUAAAUACCAUAUACAUCCAGGUGUAUACUCACUCAGAUGGCUGACAUUCCGUGGACGGACAGUAGUUUGAAUUUAUGGAUUAACUGUAACUCUGAUGCAUUGCUGGUGGGACAACCACUUUGUAAUGGUGGCAAUGACAUCUAAACCUAAACAUGCAAGUACCUAUGACCCAGGAUCCCUCCCAACAAGAAUGAAUGUUUUUGGUCUCCCAAAAGACAUGUUAAGACAUGUGCAACAAGAUUUGAAAGCAGCUUGAUUUUAAAUAGCCCACAACUGACCUCAACUGAAGAAUGGACAAAUAAACCAUUUUAUUAAUAUAGUUCUACUAUUCUUGUUAUGACAUGGUACGCUACGUUAAAAAUAAAUUCGCUAAGGCUGUGCAUGACAACAUGGAUGAGCCUGUAAUCUUGAGUAAAAGGAUCCAGACUCAAAAGUACCAAUGGUAUCAUUCUAUUUAUAUAAAAAUGGAGAACAAGGAAAAUGACUGCAUGGUGAUAGGUGUCAGGUAAAUGCUGACCUUGAUGGGGUGGAAACUUCCUAUUAAAGGGAACUUGUAGAGUGCUGGAAUGUUCCAUAUCUCAAAAUGGGUGGUGAUUACAUAAAGUAGACAUAUAUCAGAAUCUAUAGAGGUAUACACUGGUGAUCUGUGCAUCUCAGUUGUGCUUCAGUGAACAGUACACAUAUCCAACAUACAUUAUUUGUGUUUGUGUUCACCAUCUUCUCCCUCAUGGAGGGAAGAAGUCAAUGGCAGGAGGCCAUGUGUUUUUCUCCUUGUUCACUGGUACAUCAAUAUUUGAAUAAUACCCAGAACAGCUUCGGAAUAUAGCAGGUGUUCAUUCUAUCUUUAGUGGCACCACUUCAAAUUCUCCUUUGAUUGACGCUCAUUUCUUUGGAUAGGUGAGAUUAAUGUGUACAUAUACUCUCAAUAUAGUUUGUCUAGUCAUUCUCAUGCUGUGGGAGGCCACCAAGCCUUGUGACCUUUCCUGAUCGGUUGAGGCUCUGCUGGUCACUUCCUGUGAUCUGACCACAUCAAAGUGGCCAUAGAUGGUGGUCCAGUCUUGUGAGUCGUAAAAAUGUCGCUAAAUGUAUCUUCAUGCUUAGGUGUGCCUUCCUGCAGCCCCAUGGGUCGAGCUAUGCUCACCUGUUCCUUUGUGAUAUUACCCCUUUGCCAUGUUUGGGACAGAAUGUUCCAUGGAAAUGCCCUUUGUAUGUCCCUUUCUCUUGCUCUCCCUUUGGGUGUGGCCUUCCUAGAUGUCAGCCUCCUGCCAGCAGACAUCAUGAAGCUAGACUCAGCCCCUUGAAACCUGACCCCUUGCCUCACUUGAAUGACUUCUCCUCAAUAAAAGGGGUCAGCAUGCGCUGGCGCUUGCUCUCUCUUCUGUGGACCCUUAAGGUCAGAGGAUCCAUCACAAGACCCCCAAAAAGAAAAAGGGCCUGAAGAAGAUCUCUGCCUACAUGAAGUCCAGCCGCUUCCUCCCAACACCUAUGUAUUCCAAGAUGGCCACAUGGGGCAACAAGUAAGAGGCUGUUAACACCCAGACUGAGAGGAAGAAGCCAUCCUUGCCCCUGCUGGCCCCGGGUUCCUCACACAGCUGGCUCUCUGCACCCAGGCACCAGUCUUCUCAGUCCUUGCUCCUCUUUCCACUCCCUCCUCCUCUGCAAGGCCUCCUUGGCUCCCUUUCUUCUACUCAAUCCCUCCUCCUUUGGAACCUCUGCCUGCUUCAUUUCGCAUUCUUCUUCAGCACUGUCCCUUCCCUCUUGCUUCUCUGUGCCCUAAAUUCAACCAUGAAUCCUUGGCUCUGAUUUGCAGAGCUGACUUCACCCCUGCUCCUGAGAACUGUCUGAAAAUCCAGUAUUCCCUUGUGUGCAGCUCAGACCCCAGAGCGGCAGCUGAUCCCAAUAAAGGCUGAAACACA